rnacentral:rRNA from 1 species
UCUGGCAUCGAUGAAGAACGCAGCAAAAUGCGAUAAGUAAUGUGAAUUGCAGAAUUCAGUGAAUCAUCGAAUCUUUGAACGCACAUUGCGCCCGCCAGUAUUCUGGCGGGCAUGCCUGUUCGAGCGUCAUUU